CAACCUCAACAAUGUCAACAUUCAUUUGUAAUCAAGGUAGUGCACUCUGCCAUACUCAUACAAAGACAAGACGUAUGUGUAAUGUUUCUAAUCAAGUUGACUGUAGAGGAACAAGUUCAGUUGAAUGUAAUGACUCUCCAAGUGCUACA